AUGGGCCAAGCGCGCAGACGAAAAAAUUUAGCACCAAGUUUUGGCCUAGCCCGCGAACCUCGCUGCUCUUUCCUUCCCAGUACCCCUAAUUCCCCACCACUAGCCGCCGCUCACGCCGCCCCCAACAUCGCAACGCUCACUGCUCUCUCCGGUCGGCCGCUGCACCGCGCCGUCGUCCUCAAACCCUCCUGCCGCCCCCACAGCACCCAUCCCCCCCGAGAUCGAACCCUCUACACCACCAAGGUGCUCCAUCCCCACCCCGUCACCAAGAACUCCGGCCUCUUCGUCAUCCUGGGUGCCGGGCAGAUCCCGGGGAAGACUAUGUCGGCCGUGGAGAAGCACUUCCCACGCUAUCUUGCUUACGUCGGCCCCACGUCGUCCUGCCUACCAGUGCCCCCCACGCGGCCCUGCUCCCCGCCGUUGCCCCCUCCAGGUUGCCGGCUGCGGAGAUUUAUAUCGGAAACAUCAGUGCCAGUGGGUUCUUCUUCAGAGACCAUCCAUUUGACGUUCUGCCCCGAGACCCGAGGACCUUCUUAUGUGCGGAUGUUAAAAGACAUGCCUUCUUUGUACCAUUCGCGAUCUGAAGAGACCAAAUUUUCCACCGAUGACAGGAAGAAGAAGGCCAUUCACAAGACCACGACCACUGAUGGCAAGAUCACGACCUUGAAAAUGGUAGUAGUGAACACCAUUCUUGGUAUCGAAGAGUGCAAACAUCCAUCACAACACAUGGGUAGUCACUGGAACACCACCGAUGAAAAUUUGAUGGAGCUGCAAGAUAUUCUGGCAACACUUAUCAACCAACUGGAGCUAGUCAUCCAUGGUGGCAACGGCAUCGCAAAUGGCUUGCCUACAACAGAGGACUUUGAGCAUGUCACUGAUUUGGAAAUAUUGAAGAAUUACAGCUCCCCACUUCGUGGUCAAUACUUAUGUGCCUCUUUUGCUGCCUUUGAUAAUAGCAUAAAAAUGAGGUGGUGA
rnacentral:rRNA from 1 species